rnacentral:lncRNA from 1 species
GAAUGAAAUGAAUAUAUAUAACAUGAAAUAAUAAAUUAAACAAUGUCCAGUGAAUUAAACAUAACAUGACAUAGCUAAUUAAAUUACAAAUAUUCUUGAAUUAAACAACCAAUAGGUCAAUACGAAAACUAAUUGAAAGUAAUUACAUAAAGUUUUUCUUAAAAUUCAAAAUGUAAAAACCUAAACAAUCAUCAAUUGCUUUGGGCAACCCGAUGAGUAUCAGUUACACGUGAGAGGGUUGAAGUUGGUUAUUAUCAUCAUCAUCAUUUGCAUCUUCAUCUAUUUCCUUAAAGAAAAUUUAUUUAUGAAAAUGGUUUUGUUGCAUUUCAAAAAAUUUCAUAAAGCUUGAAUCUUUGUUAUGAUGUAUAUGGUUAUAAAUUUUAUCAAAUAUAAUACAUGUGUUUCUAGACUAACAAGACUUGUUAAUUCUUGAAUUUCAACCAAGCGAUCCUCGAACCAUCGGUUAUUAAUAGAGUGGGCUUUUAUUGCAAACCAAACGUAGAAUGAAAACUAAAUCAUUCUAAUGGGGAAAGCUCACUUUCUCUAUGGGAAAUCAAAAUUGAAAGUAAUAUCUCAAGUAUUCAUGAAAAAUAGAUUUUAUUUUGUAGCUAAAUAAAUUUUCCUAAUUUUCAGUGGAAUAACAUUGCCUCAAAUGUGUGUAUUCAGCUAUCUCAUAUUUCCUUCAUGUAGAGAAAAAUCACAAGAUUUUUACUUGAACAAGAGAGAAAAAAUAAUGUUUUAAUAAAUAAAUAAAUAACAAGAGUCCUACUAGGACUUAAUGCACUAGACAACACAUACCAUAUUUCCCGGGCACAGAUUGUUGCCCACCCCUAGUGUUAUUGGCCUUAUUGAGUCUUUCAUAUAUUAGGUACAAUUAUAUGUUCAGUUCAAUUUUAAAGCAAACUUAUAUAAUUAUCCAAUUCAAUAAACAAUUUUCUAUUUCUAAAAUAUUAUUUAUCUAAUUAAUUCAAAUAAAUUAUUUUCACAAUCCAAUUUUAAUUCUUUCAAAAUCAUGAUAAUUUUAUCGCGCUAGAAUCCAUGAAUAAAUAAAUUUAAUUUUUUUGUUCAUUAAAAUUGUGAUGACUAAUUAAUUUAAUUUUUAUUUUGAACUCAAUUAUUCAAUUACAAUCAAUUAAAUGAUAAUUAAAAAAUUAAAUUAAAUUUUAAAACAUCUUUUGUUUCUUUCGAGAAAAUGAAUUUACUACGGAUAGAAAAACAUGCAAUCUAUUUUUAUCUAAUAGAAAAAUAAUAUUCUAGUCUAACUAGAAGAGGGGGGCUGCACACUAGUUAAAUAUAUUAGGGUUGUCGCCCCUCAUAUGUAAUAUAAGGGAAAUUGGGUCUCUCUUGUAUUGAGUUUAAUUAUAUGUGCUUCUUGGACUUUUAACCCAAUACUUUAUAAUUUAUUCUCAAGUCUUGGUGUUUGUCGGCUUCCAGAUACUCUUCUUGUUUAAUCUUGGAGGCGGUGCAAGUAUGGAGACUGAAUUAGCAAACAUUUCGAUCAAUGAAGAAGAAGAAGAAGUCUUGAUAGUCCAGGUAGAUCCAUCUACGCAAACAGAAGUAACAGAUUAUCAACUUGUAGGUUGCUUUUUAACAGCGAGUAUAAUUAAUUUUCUGGCCAUGAAGAGCACUCUGGCUAACUUAUGGCAUCCUGUCUGUGGGGUGCAAAUUAGAGAUCUAGGGGAGAAAAGGUAUCUUUUCAAGUUUUUUCAUCAUAUGGAUAUGGAGAGAGUUUUAAAAGGUCUACCGUGGACUUUUAAUAACCACUUAUUAAUUCUAUGCAAAUUGAAGAGGGCUGAAGAUCCAUUGAAUAUACCCCUUGUUUUUGUUCCCUUUUGGGUACAAGUUCAUGAUGUUCCAACUGGUUUAUUUUCUGAGAAUUUAGCGAUACAAUUGGGUAAUUUUAUUGGAGUUCUCCUAGAGUAUGAUGCUUCAAUUCUGGGUAAGGAAAAUAGCAAUUACAUGAGGAUUAGAGUGCAGAUUGAUGUUAGGAAGCCAUUGAGAAGGAAAAAGCAAGUUAUGAGUGGUGGGUUGUGUUCGUAUGUUAAAUUUAAAUAUGAACGUUUGUCAUUGUUUUGUUUCUUCUGUGGUCGUUUGGGGCAUAAUGAUUCCUAUUGUGAGGCAAGAAUGAUGAUGGGAGCAGAAAUCAUUGAGAUGGGUUGGGAUUUAUCUUUGAGAGCCCCAUCUCGUAGAGCUCUUGCAACGAGUAGUAUUUGGUUACGAGAAGAGGGAGAAGGUAAAAGUGAAGGUAAUUGGAUGGGGCACAAAUCGUUGGGGAUGAGUUCAAGGGAUGAGAAUUUGAAUAAGAGUAAGACGAACUCUAUUGAUUCAAUAUUGGGGUUUAGUCUAGAAAAGGGAAGCCUAUCUUUUGACCAAGGGAAGGAAAAACUUGAAUUCCUUCAAGGAAAAGUGGCUAUGGAGUAUGAUGUGGAAGACGUAACUUUAGUAGGGGAGGAAGGGAAAAAGCGUAAUAGGGUUGAGAUGGAAGAUACUACCUUUUUAACAUCGGCGGCUGCCAAGAGGCUAGCCGACCGGGAGCAAUAAAAAUUUUAAGUUGGAACGUCCGUGGUUUGGGGAGACAACGGACGGUUAGAAGACUUCAAUAUUUUCUAAAGAAAAAUAAUCCCCAAAUCAUCUUCUUCAUGGAGACAAAACUUUGUAAAAAAACAGAUGGAAAUUGUUCGUAGAAGAUGUGGUUUCCUAUAUGGAAUUGAAGUUGAAGCUGAAGGUACAAGAGGAGGAUUGUGUUUAACAUGGAGAACCGACAUGGAUAUAAUGCUACGUAGUUAUUCGAAAAGACAUAUUAAUGUGUUAAUAGAUGAUAAAGAGAAAGGAGUUAAUUGGAGAUUUACAGAAUUUUACGGUUCCCCUUAUGUACAAGAAAGAUACGAUUCAUGGGAUGUUUUGAAGAGAUUGGUAGGGGGUGACGUAUUGCCAUGGCUGGUGUGUGGUGACUUUAACGAAAUCAUGUAUGGAUUCGAGAAGAAAGGAGGGCUACCUAGAGAUGAAAGAAGGAUGGAGUUAUUUCAAAAAACGCUUGAAGAUUGUCAUUUAUUCGACGUGGGAUAUGAAGGCAACUGGUUCACUUGGGAGAGAGGUAAUUUACCGGAGACAAAUAUCCAAGAACGACUUGAUAGAGGAGUUGCUAACACAGAGUGGUUCAGGUUUUUUCCCGAGGUGGUAGUCCAACAUCUUACUCAUACAUUUUCAUAUCACUGCCCACUUCUUUUAGACACAAGGAAAGAUGAAGAUCGAGUUUGGAAUAGUAAUUUCAGACUUGAAGCCUGGUGGCUAUUGGAGGAGUCUUUUAUUUGUGAGGUUAAGUUUUUGUGGGAGAAUUCUUCAGGGGAAUUGCCACAGAGACUGGAGAGACUUAAAGAAGGUCUGAAGGAAUGGGCUAGGAGAAUUCAAUUCUACAGGAAAAGAUCUAAAAGAGUUCUGACAGAAAAGCUUGAAGAGUUGUUUGUGGCGGAAAGGGAUGAUAAAGACUCUAGCUGAACUGAUUGAUACAAAAAUUAGUUUAAAUUUUGAGAUUGAAAAAGACGAAUGUUAUUGGGAACAGAAGGCUAGAACAAAUUGGCUGAAGUUUGGAGAUAAAAAUAAAAAAUUCUUCCACAGUCAAGCUUCACAACGGAAGAAGAGGAAUUUUAUUCGCAAAUUAAAGAAUGAAGAAGGGGACGAGAUGGUGUCUUUGCAGGAUAUUGAGGUUACGGCACGGGCUUACUUUCAAAAUCUAUUUUCAGCAGAUAGAAGGGGGAAUUUUGAUCAUAUAUUAUCAGGGAUUGAGCAGUGUAUUCAUGAGAAGGAGAAUCAAAGACUUACAGCUCCAUAUUCCAAGGAAGAAGUUACAGAAGUAGUCUUUGACAUGGGCCCAACAAAGGCACCAGGGGAGGAUGGCUUUCCAGCAGCUUUUUACCAGAAAUGUUGGCAGAUAGUGGGAGAGGAUUUAAUUUCUUAUUGUCUUCGGAUGCUGAACGGUGAAAUAGAGAUUAGUCAAAUUAAUUAUACAAAUAUAGUGCUUAUCCCCAAAGUUGAGAGCCCAUUAAAUAUGUCGCAGUUUAGGCCUAUCAGUCUAUGCAAUGUUCUUUACAAAAUUUUAGCAAAAGUAAUUGCUAAUAGGCUCCGGUUAGUUAUUGAGAAAUGUAUUGAUGAAGCCCAAAGCGCUUUUGUGCCAGGGAGAUUGAUAUCAGACAAUGUAUUGUUAGCCUAUGAGGUACUGCACAAGUUAAAACAGAAGAAACUGGGGAAAAAAGAUUUUAUGGCUGUGAAACUUGAUAUGAGUAAAGCUUACGAUAGGGUUGAAUGGUGUUUUAUUGAAGAAAUCAUGGUCAAGAUGGGGUUUGACCUUAACUAGGUAAAGGCCAUUAUGAAAUGCGUAUCCUCAGUUUCCUACUCAGUAAUCAUUAAUGGGUUUAGAGGAGUGAAUUUUUCACCAACCAGAGGUCUUAGACAAGGAGACCCGCUAAGUCUGUUUUUAUUUCUUUUGUGUGGAGAGGGCUUGUCGAGUCUAUUAAGAUUGGCAAUGAAGAGAGGUAUUUCAAAAGGUAUCAAGAUUAGCAGGAAUGGACCACAUGUCUCCCAUAUACUAUCUGCUAAUGAUUGCAUAUUAUUUGGAGAGGCAACAAGGAAAGGUGCUAUCAUUUUUAAGGAAAUUCUAGAAGAAUAUAAAUCCUGCGUAAAUUUUGAAAAAUCAUCAGUAUUUUUUAGCAAAAACACACCGGAAAAGGACAGAAGUCAAGUUGUCAAUUUAUUGAGGGUUCGUAGGUCGAAUGAUCCAAAAAGAUACUUGGGGUUGCCAGAUAUAGUGGGACGAAAAAAGAAAGAAGCUUUUCAGAAUCUGAAUGAUCGUUUCAAGAAAAGUAUUGAUAUCUGGAGCAUCAGGUUUUUAUCUCAAGGAGGCAAAGAAGUUUUCAUUAAGGCCAUACUUCAGGCUAUUCCUACCUAUUCAAUGGCAUGUUUUUUAUUACCUAGAGCUUUAUGUAAAGAAUUGGAGAGUAUUGUCGCUAAAUUUUGGUGGCAAAAAGGAAAAGGCAAUAGAGGGAUUCAUUGGUGUACGUGGUAUAAUCUAUGUUCUUUAAAGGAAUGUGGAGGUUUAGGUUUUCGAGAUUUUAGCCAAUUCAAUAUUGCGUUACUAGCUAAACAAUGAUGGCGUCUCAUUAAUUUUCCAAAUUCAUUAUUAGCCAGAGUUCUUAAAGCAAAAUAUUUUCCGUUUUCUAGUUUCGUAUCUGCAGAAUUGGGAACUUUACCUUCUUAUACCUGGAAGAGUAUAUGGGUAGCGAAAGGUCUUCCCCAAAAAGGGUUGAGCUGGAGGGUGGGCAGAGGGGAUAGAAUUCUCCAUUUGGGAAGAUUGCUGGAUUCAGGGGAUCGACAAAAUUGGUGCACAAAAUAGACCAGACACAGGUGAAUUAAAGUUAGUUUCGGAUCUUAUCAAUUUAACUAGCAGGAAAUGGAGAAGGGAUGUGAUUAAUAGUACGUUUCAAGAGGAAAUUGCUAGGAAAAUUCUUCAGACUCCCCUAGCAGAGUUUGAACAUGAGGACUUUCAGGUGUGGAAAGGGGAACUUUCUGGCGAGUUUUCGGUCCGCAGUGCCUAUAAACUAUUACAAGAUGCUAAUCAGAUCCCUAAUGAUUAUUUAUUACAGAUCGAAUUAAAAGAAUUUUACAAGAAACUUUGGAGCUUACAGUUGCCCUCAAAAAUUACAUUUACAAUCUGGCGAAUUUCAUGGGAUUUUAUUCCUAAUUUUGCUAAUCUUAGAUACAGGAGGGUUACUGUCAAUGAUAGAUGUCCUCGAUGUUGUUCGGCGGUUGAAGAAAGUGUCCAUGUUUUUCGCGAAUGCCCUCUGACAAUUGAAGUUUGGCAACAGUUAAAUCUUUCAUGGGUUAUGAAUUAUGCGAAUCAAAAUAUAUGGGAAUGGCUUACCUGGGUCUUCAAGAGAAGCGACAACGGUCAGUGUCUACUUUUCUGCUAUGCUCUAUGGAUGUUAUGGUACUCCAGAAAUCAAUUAGUACACCAGAGAAGAAAUACAACAGGUAGAGAUUUAGCACAUAAUAUUCAAAGACAUCUGGCAGAAUUUGAAGGUUUAAAAAACUUGAAAAAUAGUGAAAGUAUAAACAGAAGUCAUAAAACACAAGAAGGCAUACCAAGUACGAGAAUCUAUUUUGAUGCAGCGUUCGACAGUAGAACUUUCAGUUCAGCGACAGGUUUGGUAGGGUGGGAUUUGAGGGGAAACUUAAUGGCGUUAAAGACGGUUAUCCACAGAGAUGUCCCCUCACCUUUUGCAGCAGAGGCUUAUGCGUGCCUGGAAGGUGCAAAAUUAGGGAGUUCACUUAGAAUCAAAUCAGUCAGACUCAUGGGGGAUUCAAAAUCAGUUAUAAAAAAAUGUCAAGCAACUUCUACAGACAAGUCAGUUAUCGGUGCCAUUAUCAGCGAUAUUCAGAAGAAGAAAGCAGAUUUUCAAGAAGUUAUUUUUUAGUUUAUUCACAAAUCGGAGAACACAUAUGCCCAUAGAUUAGCAAAGACCGCGCUCGAGAAAGAAGAAGAUACUUAUCUGAUGGGAGAAGAUCUGGAAGGUCACGCCUUUGCCUCGGCAGAUACUUGGCUUAAAGAACCAGAUUGAAGGAGAAAUGUGCAGAUGAGUAAUGAAAGUCGAUAGCAAAAUGAAAGUUAAAAGAUUUUGGGGAUAGCUAUCGACAAGAUGUUCUGGAGCAUUGGAAAUGACUAGUCAUCAGAAUUUAUGGCUUCCAGACGUUUCUUGAUUUGACUGGGAUGGUUUUUAUUUAUCUUAUUUUAUUGUUUGUUUAAGUCUUUCCAUUUUCUGGAGAGUUUUGUUGCUGGAUUGGCCUUUAGGUUGUUUCUCUAUUUUUUUGUUUUGUUUUUUCAGGUCUUGUCUUUGCGAUUUCAUUUGGAUUGGGCUUUAUUGGGUCUGAUUUUUGUUUAUUUUUAUUCUAUUUUUUCAAUUUAAUAAAA